rnacentral:tRNA from 1 species
AAAUCCGUCGACUUCCAAAAUCCUGAGGGUUCCGUCCCUCUAUCCCCAAAGCCUAUUUGACUCUCAAAAAAAUAUAACCCUAUCCCC